UGUAUGUAUAUGUGUGUAUGUAUAUAUAUAUGUGUAUAUGCAUGUGUAUGUGUGUAUUGUAUUGUGUGCAUUGUGUGUGUAUGUGUUGUAUGUGUGUCUAUAUGUGUCUGUGUGUAUGUGUGUGUGCAUGUGUAUGUGUGUAUGCAUGUAUAUGUGUACAUUGUAUUGUAUGUGUGUAGUGUGUGUCUGUGUGUGUGUCUGUGUGUGUAUGUAUGUAUAUGUGUGUAUGUGUAUGUGUGUGUAUGUGUGUGUCUGUGUGUGUCUGUGUGUGUAUGUGUGUAUGUAUAUGUGUGUAUGUGUAUAUGUGUGUAUGCAUGUAUAUGUCUAUAUUGUAAUGUGUGUGUAGUGUGUGUGUCUGUGUAUGUGUGUCUGUGUCUGUGUGUCUGUGUCUGUGUGUAUGUGUGUGUCUCUGUAUGUGUGUAUGUGUGUGUGUGUGUGUGUGUGUGUGUGUGUGUGUGUGUGUGUAGAUGUACUUACACAUCCCACAUGCAGGUAAAGACCAGAGAACAGCCUCAAGCAUGAGUCCUCAGAGCUGUCCAGCUUGUUUUCAGAGACAGCAUCUUUCCCUGGGACAUGAACUUGCUGAUCAGGCUGGGCAGAGUGGACUCUGGGGAUCUUCCUGUGUCUGUCUUCCUCACCUGGAUUAUAGUACAUCCUACCACACAUUCAGGUUUUAUGUGGGCGCUGGGAUCAAAUACAAGUUCUCAUGUGGAGAUCUCUCCAAAGCCCCUACUGCUUUUCUAGCCCAGUUUAGCUUCAGCUUUCUCACCUUCAUCUCCCAAGUUCUGGGGUUAAAAUCAUUAGCUACCAUGUGCCACAUGAAGAAGGGUGGGUACAAAUGUACAAUCAAUUUAUUUGUCUUUUUUUCCCCUCUCUCCCAUCCUUCCUUUCUUCGUGAGACAGAGUCUUACCAUGUAAAUCUGGAUGACCUAAAAUGUGCUAUGUGGACCAGGAUGUCUUCACACUCAAAGAGACACACCCGCCCCUGUCAGUGUGGUUCUGGGAUUAAAGGUGUGGCUUAGGAUCCUUUCAAGCUUUGGGUAGUUUGGGGAAGGCAUAUGCUUCUAGGAAUACCUUGGAAACAACGCUGAGAGCAGAGGUGAGGACUGGGCUGGAUUUCCAGAAAGGACCAAGUCUGGAGAAGACUCGGAGGAACACAGAAAGAACAUUUGCUGGUAACACUCUGCCCUUCCUGCAGCCUGUGUUCUCCUGAAUGUCACCCUGGAGAGCAGGGUUUCUCCCAGACUGCCCGAGCUCUGAUCUGGAUGAGGAUCCUAGGCUACAGAGGGGAUGAAACAACGGCAUUUGAAGGGGAAACUCCCUCACUCUCUCCUCCCAGUGACAUCCACAUCAGGCUCGCUACUGGUGUGGCAUGACAGAUUAUCAUCUAAACCCUCCUGGGCCAGACCUCAUUCCUCCUGAGGAAUUCUUCCAGUGAGAGAGAGAGAGAGAGAGAGAGAGAGAGAGAGAGAGAGAGAGACCGAGACCAACCAAGAAACCCCAGGACCCACGGAAAGAACCAACUCUCAACUGAAUGUUGUCCUCUGAUCUCUGCAUGUGCACCAUCCAGGGUCUCUCACUGGCCUGGAACUGAUUACUAGCUGGUUGGCUAGCUCCAGGGAUCCAAGAGUCUCCGCUCCCUCAUCUUUAGCCCUGUUUCCCACAAUACUGCACAGGUGCUGUGCACACGAAGUCAUGCCAAGUCUGAGGUAGAAGAUACUGAGCACAGAGAUCCACCAUCUUGUAGCCUCCAGGUCGCCAGCCUCAGGCACUUCCACUUGGGACUUUCUAUUGAGGCCAGAACACAACCUUUGAGCAUGAAAACAGCAAAUUGGAGUCCACAGGACAGAGCACUUCCUAAGUGUCCACAGAAGACUGUUGCUGGCCCAAAUGCUUGCUUGUGGGGAGACUCCUGAGCACUGUGGCACUCUGGAUGUCAUCGAACCCAUGAGGCCUGUUAUCCUGUCACCCAGAAAGCCUGGGGACACCACCACCACUUCACACAACACCAACUAUCCCUGUGGUGCCUCCUUCCAUUCUUUCUAGAAUGUUCCCUGAGCCACAGCCCAGAAACUCUCCUGAGUGGAAGGUCUACCACCUUCUGCAGGCUUCCUCUUUGGAGACCUGAGUCACAGGAAAGGUCACGCCCCCUCCACCAUGUGCUUUGUGCAUCCCUCACCAAGACUUCAUAGUCCAAGCUUAGACUUUUGGAAAGAGAAGCUAAUGACUGAAGAAAGAUGGAGAAGGGGCUAGAGAGAUUGCUCAGUGGUUAGAGCACUGACUGCUCUUCCAGAGGUCCCGAGUUCAAAUCCCAGCAACCACAUGGUGGCUCACAGCCAUCUGUAAUGAGAUCUGAUACCCUCUUCUCAUGUGUCUCAAGACAGCCAUCGUGUUUUAUAUAUAAUAAACAAAUAAAUCUUAAAAAAAAAAAAAAAGAAAGAAAGAUGGAGAAGGAGGAAGUUACCCUGAGGAAGAACAGGUGAGAGGUGGGGACCCUGGAGAGAGGUAUUCUGGGAUACCCGUGGGUCCUGCAUUCUGCAGCAAGGUCACCAUUAUACAGUUACAAUGCAAGUGAAAUCAGACCAGCAGCUGCCCUCUGACCCUAGCCAGGUUGGUCUUUUACUCUCAGAAUUUGGUAAUGAGACGAGACAACUCUCAUCUCUGGUCCUUUCCUAAAGACACCUGAAGCAGAGAGAUCAAAGCUAAGAGGCUGGAGAGCUGGUGGCAUGGUAGAGCCUGAGACCAGAGCUCGGGAGGCCGCCUGCCUGCUAUUACUUGUGGGAAUCCAGCAACCAACCAGCCCAGGAAGCUGAGUGACCCCCCUCUAUCAGUCAGUCCCCUAGCAGCCAGGAUUGAAUGGAUAACCAAAAACCCCUCUGUUUCUUUUCUCUCCCAACUUUGGACCAACCAGAGAAAUAUGCCACCAACUGGCGAGCCCAUUCCUGUGGGGGUUUUUACCCAAAUGAUUUUCAACCUGAACAACCAGAUUUCGUUUUAUGUCUUUUUUUUGGGGGGGGGGCAGCAAGAAUGUUUUGCAUUAUCGAUGUCUCUCAUCUCUUCCACUGUCCCCAGCUCCAUUAUCAGCCCUGGGAGGCUUCCCCAGCCUCGCUCAUUCUGAGACGUCAGCUAUCGAAGCUGAGAUUUCUACCCCCUUCCCGUUCCACUUUGUGCUUAUUCCUCUCUCUCCUUCCCAUCUGAUCCUGAACCUUGGUCUAGCACUGAGAGCCCCCCGGUGCAAUUAAAACUCCAUCAGGGAGACAGCCCUCGCAAGACAGAGCUGCUGCCGGCUCACUAAUGGAGGAUGCAAGGCAUGCGCAGAACAGCGUUCUGUCCAUUAGAGGCUCUGAGAAACUAAAGGGAGCCCCCUUUGACCUGCUUGCCGGGAAACUCAACUCCUGAGUAACGGAGCGGCCUCCGGAAGGGACAGUUUACCAGUCGAAGAGUGACUUCAAUACUGACAAGGGAAGUUGCCAGCAUACGGAGCUGUUACCCACCUGCCUGUGAUCCUGUCUGCCCGAGAAGGCAGAGCCCAGCAGGGAAGUCAUAGACCUCAUUGUCAGGACUUCAAACACCUUCUAUGUAUACGUGCAGUGCUCAUCCCAGGAAACCAGAGCUGGAGGUAAGGCUUUGAUUUGAAUUUUCUGUAUCCCAUAGCUUCAGAUUACCUGGAAAGUAGUCUGAAUAGGUUUUAGCUGUAGCUGUGGCUUUGUAUCUGUCGGGUCAUGUGCUAGUCAUUGCACUCUGAGUCCCCUGGUUGAUUGUCAGAAAUACCAUGAGUUAAAACUGUCUGUCGAUAGAGUGACCUGAGGCUUUGCAUCUCAGUCCUACAUUAAGCACUGCUGGAUUCCUGGCUUUCCUCAUAGUGAGAUGAGAAAAUGCCAAGUAAGUAAGUGUCUGGGAAACGAGUCUUGUUUACUAGUAGUCACGCCAUUUUAUAGGCCCAGUGCAAAAGCUUUGAGAAACACAUAAGAGUUUUCCCACAUCAGAAACACUGAAAAGGCUUUUAAAAGACCCUGGACCCUUCACACCACCUGAGACCCAGGAGUUCAGUGAGUUGUGAGCAUUCUAAGCCAGCAGGUAGCAGAACUGGGAUCUGAACCAGAUUUCUCGAUGGCCAAACCCUAGCUCUGGCUCAUGAAGCUAGCUCAUGGAGUUCAAAGGUCAAGGGACACCUGAGUCACACGGCAGAUGUGCUAUGGGAGCACGCUGGUCCCUACCAGGCUUCCUUCACAGUAAGAACAGUGUUCUCCCAAGUGGGCCACUUCAGAAUCCGUCUCACAAGUGUGCUGAUCUCGGAGAGGAACCUUUGGGAAUCCUUCUUACCAAGGGGAUUAUUUGAUAUUUUGAAAAGAAAAGCGGGGGUGUAACUGGGGGUGUAGCUUAGCUGGCAGAAUAUUGCUUGCCUCACAGACACAAGGCCCACUGUCUAGUCUCUCGAAUGGUGGAACACACCUGCCAUCUGGCACUUUGACGGUGGAAGCCGGAAGAUCAAUAGUUUAAGGUCAAGCUUUCUACAUGGGUUGAGGUCAGCCUGGGAUAUACGAGACCCUGUCCCUCCCCUCGCACCUCCCCCCAAAAAAGAGAAAGUUCACAUGCCAGCUAAUUGCUUGAAGAUCAUUCCCACUAAGCCAGCCCACAUCCUUUACAUUCCGACUCAAAAAGCAUAGCUUUUAAAAAAUGUACUUACAUUUAUUUUAUCUCGUAUGUGUUUUGUGUGUACAUGCUUGCAUGUGUGUGUGUAUAUGCGUGUACGUGUCUAUCUGUAUGUAUGUGAGCAUGUAUAUGUGUAUGUGAGUAGGUAUGUUUGUGUGUUAAUGUGUGUAUGUGUGUGCAUGUUUGUGUAUUGAUGUAUGUAUGAGUCUGUGUAUGUGUGUGACUUAGUGUGAGUGUAUGUGUGGUUAUGUGUGUAUAUGCGAGCGUGCAUGUGACCGUGUGUAUGUGUGUAUACAUAUGUAUAUGUGUAUAAUUGUGUGUGUGAUCGUGUGUGCAUGCAUAUGUGUGUAUAUGUAUGUGUGUACCCGUACCACAUGGCACAUGUGGAGAUCAGAGGACAGCUUGCUGGAGCCAGUUCUGUCUUCCUAUCACAUGGGUUCCAGGAACCAAACUUAGCUCAUCAGGUAUCUUGGGCACUUUUCUGUUCUGAUGAUGAACCACAAUGAUCAAGGCAAGUUAGAGAAGAAGGAGUUUAUUUGGGCUUACAGUUCUGGGGAGAUAAAAGUCCAUCAUGAGAUGGAAACACCAGGUAUAGUGACUGGAGAGGCAAGCUGAGGAACCACAUCCUGAACCAAGCACAAACCAGCAGGAGCCGGCUCACAGUGGCUACUUCCUCCGGCAAGCAAUGGGCCCUCAACUUCCGGGUGUUCAAAUACGUGAGCCUGUAGGGAACGUUCUUAUCUGAAGCCUUGCCUCAGGCUUGGUGGCAGAGCCACCCGCUGAGUCACCCCCAUCUCUGUCUUUUUAUCUUUUUCAAAUAUCAGCAGAGAGAACCUAAGCAUGCUUUCCCUGGCGCCUGGGCUUUCUCAGAGUUUCUCCCGAACUACUCUCCUUGACUAACUUAGGAGUGACUUUCUCAUGUGGUCCAUCUCUCUUCCUCCUGCUGCCUGCAUUUUCAGCUUGCCUGGCCUGUCGUGGGUUUUUUGUUUGUUUGUUUGUUUGUUUGUUUUCUCAAAUGCUAAUACAAUUGUUCUCCGGUUUCAAAAAGAAAGGAAGAAAA